UAGGGAAUAUUGGGCAAUGGGCGCGAGCCUGACCCAGCCAUGCCGCGUGACGGAUGAAGGCCUUCUGGGUUGUAAACGUCUUUUGACCGGGAAGAAAAAGCCCUUGCGAGGGAAAUCGACGGUACCGGUUGAAUAAGCACCGGCUAACUCCGUGCCAGCAGCCGCGGUAAUACGGAGGGUGCGAGCGUUGUCCGGAUUUAUUGGGUUUAAAGGGUGCGUAGGUGGCCCCUUAAGUCCGUGGUGAAAGCCUGCCGCUUAACGGCAGAACUGCCAUGGAUACUGAGGGGCUUGAGUCCAGACGAGGUUGGCGGAAUGGAUGGUGUAGCGGUGAAAUGCAUAGAUACCAUCCAGAACCCCGAUUGCGUAGGCAGCUGACUAGGCUGGUACUGACACUGAGGCACGAAAGCGUGGGGAGCGAACAG
rnacentral:rRNA from 1 species